AGAAGCUUCGCUUAUUAAAAAAGCGCAUUCUGUGACACGAGCAAAAAUUACUAUUAACGAAAUUCGAUCUUGUUACCACAGCCGUAAGAAUCAACUCGGAGUCACAACCUUAACCAUUGGACCAGCAAGCAAUCUAUACAGUCCAACAGAAAGGAGGCAGCGGCUAGAACAACUGGUGGAGGACCUGCACCUCCACCACUGACGCAUGCAGAGGAGAAGGCACUCAGCAUGAACACUGGAAAGCAGGGGCUGAAGGAAUUCCUGGAGGGAGUUCAUCAGAACCAUUCACUCCCCAGGAUACAAGUGCAUUUGUAAAAUAUUCUGAUGGUAAUAUGUGAAUCUUCCUGUCACAACAGAAGCCCAGGAUGUUAGUGUGGAAGAACAGCAGGAGGAGGGUCCGUCACAUUCUGCUGCACAGAUGCACACCGUUCAGUGAUGUUCAUUAAAUGCCAGAGUUCAAUUCUGAAAUGAAAAAAAAAUCCAACAAGUCGACAUUUUGUCAACAAUACGGCACACAAGAAAAGCUCGACAAUCAAAGGAAGCAGGAGGGCAGCACGCUCCGAACCUGACGCCGACUGGCAGCUGGUACGUAACCAUCGACGAGGGGCGCAAUGGUUUAAGGAAUCCGGAUUGCAUUAAUUAAGGACGGUCAAGGGAGACAUGUCAACAGGAUGCAAGAGCGGAUGUCGCCGGCCCCUUGAUCAAGGAUGACGCUUUACUGAUAGAUUUGGUGUUCCUUUAUUAAAUUCCAUACGCAUACCGUCCGUUACAGCAUUCUCCACCGUAAGAGCUAUGGUAAUACAACAUUAAAAUUAGCAUACUUUAAAACGCACUAAAACAUCAUUCAUUCAUACUUCAAUAAACAAUACGUAAAUCCAUAUAAAAAAAUCAUAUUAUUAUUUACACUCCCACCAAAAUUGUGAAUGUAAAUCCGUACAACAAUGAAUAAUUUUCAGUGCAGAAAUAACCCUUACACCGAAAAAAUAACCUUAGGAACCCUCUAACAACAAGAUGAGCUUUUGCACUGGUCGCUCAACAACUGAAGUUUUAUUGCAACGUUGACCUUUACUGUCCAGUUUCUUAUCUCCAAGGGAGAUUUUCACUCUUCUUACGAGGCUAUCCUCUCUGCUGUCAGUUUCUACCACUCUUCCCAGUCUCUAUUCACCUCAAGGUAACAGUUUGUCCACAUCCAAACGACAUUGCCCACCUUUAGGUUCCUUUUUGCUAAAUGCUAUUUUUGUCUUGCAAUGAUUAUGUAAACAUACGCCCUUCUCCAACGGUACCAGAACUGCUUCGUCAGAAACUGCACCCAACGGCAUCUCAGUUUCCCAUACAGAUCUUCCUUAUGGAAUGAGCCAGUGGAGGCAGGGCUGUGCUGGUUUUCAUCUGAAGCAGGUGAUUGGAAGUCAGAGGCUCUAAACUUUUAGGAUCCUUUAAGUUAUCCACUGUUAGAGAUCUACUGUUUACUAUGGCCAUGGCUUCAUACAAUACAGUCCUUAAGGAAGCAUCAUUGAGUUUGCCAUGAGCAAGUGAUAACGUGGUAUUCAACACACUUCUUUAUCUGACGCACAAAGUCACUUUGGUUUUGUGAAAGAUUUACAUGUAGUCUCUUUUUUUAAAGGUCCAUGCACACACUUUUUUCAUGCUACACAAUGCUAAAGAAUUGGACCUUGAUGUCCUUGGACCUAUGUGUCUGUAACUUUUCAUGCCAAAAAGCUCUGUACGUAGAUCGCCCACACGCCCGUCUGAAAAUGUGUGUUUUAAGCUCUCGUCCACAAUGCUCUGUUUUAGGAAUGUGUCGCAAGCGAAAUUGAUUGCCACACCCCUUUGAGGAAGCGCGACGAGGCAGUAUGUUUGAAUGUGUAUUCAUUACAGAACACAUUUAAUAUACAGUAUAUCAGACAAUUACACAUGCACGGAAUAAAUCAGUAUCUCAGAAAUUCAUAAACAAUUUUUACUAUUUACAGAUUAAUCAUAACGUACCUGGGAACUCUGGUUUACAAACAUAGUUUUGGUUCUAAAUACAUAUUGACCCAAUAUAUUUUUAAUUGCUUUUAGUAAGGUGUAUGAUAAAUUAAGUGCUAACAUAUAACUAAUAGAAAUGUAGUUAUUGUUUUUUUCUUUAUAAAUUUGACAGUACUAUGUCUGCGUGUAUCUCAAGUCGUUGCAGGUAUCUAGCCUAGAAGUCUUGUUAGCUGGUGCUGGGGACUUCUAGGGUGAAGAGUCCAAGUUG